CAGUCGCCGCGGUAAUACGUAGGUGGCAAGCGUUGUCCGGAAUUAUUGGGCGUAAAGGGCUCGCAGGCGGUUUCUUAAGUCUGAUGUGAAAGCCCCCGGCUCAACCGGGGAGGGUCAUUGGAAACUGGGAAACUUGAGUGCAGAAGAGGAGAGUGGAAUUCCACGUGUAGCGGUGAAAUGCGUAGAGAUGUGGAGGAACACCAGUGGCGAAGGCGAUUCUCUGGUCUGUAACUGACGCUGAGGAGCGAAAGCGUGGGGAGCGAACAGGAUUAGAUACCCCAGUAGUCCCUGUCUCUUAUAC
rnacentral:rRNA from 1 species